UACGUAGGGUGCAAGCGUUAAUCGGAAUUACUGGGCGUAAAGCGUACGCAGGCGGCUAUGUAAGACAGGUGUGAAAUCCCCGGGCCUAACCUGGGAACUGCAUUUGUGACUGCAUGGCUAGAGUUUGUCAGAGGGGGGUGGAAUUCCACGUGUAGCAGUGAAAUGCGUAGAGAUGUGGAGGAACACCGAUGGCGAAGGCAGCCCCCUGGGAUGUGACUGACGCUCAUGUACGAAAGCGUGGGGAGCAAACAGG
rnacentral:rRNA from 1 species